UGCAGUCGAGCGGUAAGGCUCCUACUCUGUACUUUAGAAUUUCUAGAGUCUGGGGUUGGAGUACACGAGCGGCGGACGGCAGAGUAACGCGUAGGAACGUACCCCAAAGUGAGGGAUAAGCACCGGAAACGGUGUCUAAUACCGCAUGUGGUCUUCGGAUUAAAGCCUUCGGGCGCUAUGGGAACGGCCUGCGUAAGAUUAGCUAGUUGGUGAGGUAAUUGCUCACCAAGGCGACGAUCUUUAGCUGGUCUGAGAGGAUGAUCAGCCUGACUGGGACUGAGACACGGCCCAGACUCCUACGGGAGGCAGCAGUAGGGAAUUUUCCACAAUGGGGGCAACCCUGAUGGAGCAACGCCGCGUGCAGGAUGAAGGCCUUAGGGUCGUAAACUGCUUUUGUCUAUGAAGAAUAUGACGGUAAUAGACGAAUAAGGGUCUGCUAACUACGUGCCAGCAGCCGCGGUCAUACGUAGGACCCAAGCGUUAUCCGGAAUUACUGGGCGUAAAGAGUUGCGUAGGUGGCAAAGUAAGUUGAUAGUGAAAUCGUGUGGCUCAACCAUAUAUCCAUUAUCAAAACUACUUAGCUAGAGUAUGGGAGAGGUAUCUGGAAUUUCUAGUGUAGGAGUGGAAUCCGUAGAUAUUAGAAGGAACACCGAUGGCGUAGGCAGGAUACUGGCCCAUACUGACACU
rnacentral:rRNA from 1 species